rnacentral:rRNA from 1 species
GAUGAACGCUGGCGGCGUGCCUAAUACAUGCAAGUCGAGCGAACGGACGAGAAGCUUGCUUCUCUGAUGUUAGCGGCGGACGGGUGAGUAACACGUGGAUAACCUACCUAUAAGACUGGGAUAACUUCGGGAAACCGGAGCUAAUACCGGAUAAUAUUUUGAACCGCAUGGUUCAAAAGUGAAAGACGGUCUUGCUGUCACUUAUAGAUGGAUCCGCGCUGCAUUAGCUAGUUGGUAAGGUAACGGCUUACCAAGGCAACGAUGCAUAGCCGACCUGAGAGGGUGAUCGGCCGCACUGGAACUGAGACACGGUCCAGACGCCUACGGGAGGCAGCAGUAGGGAAUCGUCCGCAAUAGGCGAAAGCCUGACGGAGCAACGCCGCGUGAGUGAUGAAGAUCUUCGGAUCGUAAAACUCUGUUAUUAGGGAAGAACAUAUGUGUAAGUAACUGUGCACAUCUUGACGGUACCUAAUCAGAAAGCCACGGCUAACUACGUG